GACGAACGCUGGCGGCGUGCUUAACACAUGCAAGUCGAACGGAAAGGCCCUGCUUUUGUGGGGUGCUCGAGUGGCGAACGGGUGAGUAACACGUGAGUAACCUGCCCUUGACUUUGGGAUAACUUCAGGAAACUGGGGCUAAUACCGGAUAGGAGCUCCUGCUGCAUGGUGGGGGUUGGAAAGUUUCGGCGGUUGGGGAUGGACUCGCGGCUUAUCAGCUUGUUGGUGGGGUAGUGGCUUACCAAGGCUUUGACGGGUAGCCGGCCUGAGAGGGUGACCGGCCACAUUGGGACUGAGAUACGGCCCAGACUCCUACGGGAGGCAGCAGUGGGGAAUAUUGCACAAUGGGCGGAAGCCUGAUGCAGCAACGCCGCGUGCGGGAUGACGGCCUUCGGGUUGUAAACCGCUUUCGCCUGUGACGAAGCGUGAGUGACGGUAAUGGGUAAAGAAGCACCGGCUAACUACGUGUCAGCAGCCGCGGUGAUACGUAGGGUGCGAGCGUUGUCCGGAUUUAUUGGGCGUAAAGGGCUCGUAGGUGGUUGAUCGCGUCGGAAGUGUAAUCUUGGGGCUUAACCCUGAGCGUGCUUUCGAUACGGGUUGACUUGAGGAAGGUAGGGGAGAAUGGAAUUCCUGGUGGAGCGGUGGAAUGCGCAGAAAUCAGGAGGAACACCAGUGGCGAAGGCGGUUCUCUGGGCCUUUCCUGACGCUGAGGAGCGAAAGCGUGGGGAGCGAACAGGCUUAGAUACCCUGGUAGUCCACGCUGUAAACGGUGGGUACUAGGUGUGGGGUCCAUUCCACGGGUUCCGUGCCGUAGCUAACGCUUUAAGUACCCCGCCUGGGGAGUACGGCCGCAAGGCUAAAACUCAAAGGAAUUGACGGGGCCCCGCACAAGCGGCGGAGCAUGCGGAUUAAUUCGAUGCAACGCGUAGAACCUUACCUGGGUUUGACAUGGAUCGGGAGUGCUCAGAGAUGGGUGUGCCUCUUUUGGGGUCGGUUCACAGGUGGUGCAUGGCUGUCGUCAGCUCGUGUCGUGAGAUGUUGGGUUAAGUCCCGCAACGAGCGCAACCCUUGUUCACUGUUGCCAGCACGUUAUGGUGGGGACUCAGUGGAGACCGCCGGGGUCAACUCGGAGGAAGGUGGGGAUGACGUCAAGUCAUCAUGCCCCUUAUGUCCAGGGCUUCACGCAUGCUACAAUGGCUGGUACAGAGAGUGGCGAGCCUGUGAGGGUGAGCGAAUCUCGGAAAGCCGGUCUCAGUUCGGAUUGGGGUCUGCAACUCGACCUCGUGAAGUCGGAGUCGCUAGUAAUCGCAGAUCAGCAACGCUGCGGUGAAUACGUUCCCGGGGCU
rnacentral:rRNA from 1 species